GGCUCAGAUCUGCCGAAGUCGAGCGCUCAAGCAGGCAGAUCAAGACAGUGGCUGUGGUGUCAUCUAUUGGGCGCGGAUCGGCAGCACUCGGAGCAGGGGCACGCGGUGAUUGGUGGCUGGGCGCGGGCUGUGCGGGGCGCAGGAGCAGCAGCAAUGGCGUGGAGACGAUGACCGACAGGUGGUGGAGCGGCGGCUUUGGGCGCGGGGGCUCGCGGACGAGCGUUGCAG
rnacentral:lncRNA from 1 species